UACGUAGGGGGCAAGCGUUGUCCGGAUUUAUUGGGCGUAAAGAGCGUGUAGGCGGCCCGAUAAGUCCGCUGUGAAAGUCCAGGGCUCAACCCUGGGAUGCCGGUGGAUACUGUCGGGCUCGAGUCCGGAAGAGGAGUGUGGAAUUCCUAGUGUAGCGGUGAAAUGCGUAGAGAUUAGGAAGAACACCAGUGGCGAAGGCGACUUACUGGACUGUAACUGACGCUGAGGCAUGAAAGCGUGGGGAGCAAACAGG
rnacentral:rRNA from 1 species